UACGAAGGGGGCUAGCGUUGCUCGGAAUCACUGGGCGUAAAGGGUGCGUAGGCGGGUCGUUAAGUCAGGGGUGAAAUCCUGGAGCUCAACUCCAGAACUGCCUUUGAUACUGAGGAUCUUGAGUACGGGAGAGGUGAGUGGAACUGCGAGUGUAGAGGUGAAAUUCGUAGAUAUUCGCAAGAACACCAGUGGCGAAGGCGGCUCACUGGCCCGGAACUGACGCUGAGGCGCGAAAGCGUGGGGAGCAAACAGG
rnacentral:rRNA from 1 species